GGAAGCGGAAGAAGAGGAGGAGUCAAGCCACAACAUUUAGGGGUCAUGUUGCUUGUGUGGCCGGUGUGAAUGUGACCGGGGGCUUGGCAGGGGUGAUGGGAGGCUUGGCAAGGGUGGCAGGGGGGCGAGGUACAGCCAAUACCCCCCGGCGUACAUGCCCUCAAAACUGCAGGAGAUGGAGGACAGCGGGGAGAUGAAGGAAUUUGAGUAGCGGGCGGUCCGAGUGGCCCACAGCACCCACACCACCUCCGUACUCCACCACCCGCUUGUCAGGAAAUUCACCAACCACAUCAUGAAAACAGGAAACAAACCUCUGGCCAGGGAACUUGUCGAGAAGGUCAAAGGUCACAACUAGCCAGCCGGGAGUGGGUCAGGAUGGCACGGCUGGCUGUGGUGGUGGUGGUGGUGGUGGUGUUGGCGGCAGCAGCGGCGGGAAGGCCAGACUACACGCUGUCCCAAAAAUUUAUUGAAAUGUUGCAGAGUGAACAGUCCGCUUGGAAGAUUGUGUUAAGAUAUGGAGAAACAGACCAAAGGAACAGGAGGAGGAGGAGGAGGAAAGAGAUAUGAGGAGGAAGAGAAGAAGGAUGGAAUGAAGAGGAAGAAGAAAAG